AGGGUUUGAUCAUGGCUCAGAACGUACGCUGGCGGCACGCCUUAUACAUGCAAGUCGAACGAAGUAGCAAUACUUAGUGGCAGACGGGUGAGUAACAUGUAGGUAUCUUCCCUUUGGUGAGGAAUAACACGAGGAAACUUGUGCUAAUACCUCAUAAGUCUUCACGGAGAAAGCUUUAUGCGCCGAAGGAUGAGCCUGCACUUGAUUAGUUUGUUGGUGGGGUAAUGGCCUACCAAGACUUUGAUCUAUAGCUGAUCUGAGAGGAUGAUCAGCCACAUUGGGACUGAGACACGGCCCAAACUCCUACGGGAGGCAGCAGUAGGGAAUAUUGCACAAUGGAGGAAACUCUGAUGCAGCGAUGCCGCGUGAGUGAAGAAGGCCUUUGGGUUGCAAAGCUCUUUCGUCGGGGAGGAAAAUGACUGUACCCGAAUAAGAAGGUCCGGCUAACUUCGUGCCAGCCGCCGCGGUAAUAC
rnacentral:rRNA from 1 species